rnacentral:rRNA from 1 species
ACUCAAAUGAAUUGACGGGGGCCCGCACAAGCAGCGGAGCGUGUGGUUUAAUUCGAUGCAACGCGAAGAACCUUACCCGGGCUUGACAUGCGCGUGGUACCCGAGGGAAACCGAGGGGACCCGCGAGGGAGCGCGCACAGGUGCUGCACGGCUGUCGUCAGCUCGUGCCGUGAGGUGUUGGGUUAAGUCCCGCAACGAGCGCAACCCCCGCCGCCAGUUACCACGUCUGGCGGGACCGCCGGGACCAACCCGGAGGAAGGUGGGGACGACGUCAAGUCAGCGUGGCCCUUACGUCCGGGGCGACACACACGCUACAAUGGCCGGGACAAUGGGCUGCGAAGGGGCGACCCGGAGCCAAUCCCAGCAAACCCGGCCCCAGUUCGGAUCGGGGGCUGCAACCCGCCCCCGUGAAGUCGGAGUUGCUAGUAACCGCCGGUCAGCACACGGCGGUGAAUGCGUUCCCGGGCCUUGUACACACCGCCCGU